AACGAACGCUGGCGGCAGGCUUAACACACGCAAGUCGAGCGCCCCGCAAGGGGAGCGGCAGACGGGUGAGUAACGCGUGGGAACGUACCCUUUGCUACGGAAUAGCUCCGGGAAACUGGAAUUAAUACCGUAUGUGCCCUACGGGGGAAAGAUUUAUCGGCAAAGGAUCGGCCCGCGUUGGAUUAGCUAGUUGGUGGGGUAAAGGCCUACCAAGGCGACGAUCCAUAGCUGGUCUGAGAGGAUGAUCAGCCACAUUGGGACUGAGACACGGCCCAAACUCCUACGGGAGGCAGCAGUGGGGAAUAUUGGACAAUGGGCGCAAGCCUGAUCCAGCCAUGCCGCGUGAGUGAUGAAGGCCUUAGGGUUGUAAAGCUCUUUCACCGGAGAAGAUAAUGACGGUAUCCGGAGAAGAAGCCCCGGCUAACUUCGUGCCAGCCGCCGCGGUAAAAC
rnacentral:rRNA from 1 species